AGUAAAUUUAUUAUAAUAGAAGACGAUGAACGUUUUUAUUGAAAUCCGAUAUAACACAUAUCUACAAUGCGUUUGGUCAAAAUGACCCAUGAGCAUUGUUAUAAUCGUCAAACAUAGUCAAAGUCGUCAAAAAAGUAACAUACACAAUAUAUUAUUAUAUAUUAUUAUUUCCUCGUAAACUAUCUUCUGCAAUAUUUAAAAUAUAAAAAGUUGAAAGAAUUUUCAUGUACAAAAAAACUCGCUAAUCAGACCGGGUUUUCAAAGGGUCAUUCACAGUUUGCGGCAUCUGUUUUGAUAACGGAUUAUAGAAAGCCCACAUAUGGUGUAAAAUGACACUUAUUGGCCCCUAUUGAUAAUUACUUGCGCAUUUUAAAAUAGUUUCUUAACUUACAUUAAAUUUGGAAGACUUAAACCGAAAGAAAUAAAAAAUGUUUUAUUCUA